GGAGCAUGUGGUUUAAUUCGAUGAUACGCGAGGAACCUUACCUGGGCUCGAACGUAAGAUGACUGUAGGUGAAAGCUUACAUCUCUUCGGAGCAUUUUACGAGGUGCUGCAUGGUUGUCGUCAGCUCGUGCCGUGAGGUGUCGGGUUAAGUCCCAUAACGAGCGCAACCCUACCUUUAGUUGCCAUCAGGUAAUGCUGGGGACUCUAAAGGAACUGCCUACGCAAGUAGUGAGGAAGGCGGGGAUGACGUCAAAUCAGCACGGCCCUUACGUCCAGGGCUACACACGUGCUACAAUGGCCGAUACAGAGGGCAGCUACCUGGUGACAGGAUGCAAAUCUCCAAAGUCGGUCUCAGUUCGGAUCGGAGUCUGCAACCCGACUCCGUGAAGUUGGAUUCGCUAGUAAUCGCGCAUCAGCCAUGGCGCGGUGAAUACGUUCCCGGGCCUU
rnacentral:rRNA from 1 species